AUUGAACCACCGAUUCCCGUACGAUCACCUAAGUUAAGCAACGUAGAACUUGGUCGGUACCUAGAUGAGAGACCGCUUGAGAAUGCUAGGUACUGUAAU